GUGGAGCCUCUCAGAGGACAGCUGUGCUAGAUUCCUGUCUGUAAGCCUAACAGAAUCACAGUAGUGUCAGGAACUGGUUCUUGCCCGUGGGAUGGAGCUAAAGUUGGGCCAGUCUUCACUGGUUGGCUAUUCCCUCUGUCUUUGCUCCAUCUUUGUCCCUGCACCAAGGAAAACUAUUUUAAGAUCAACUCCAUUUGAAAAAAGUGAACAAGAGUGGGACCAGCAAACAGCUCAGCAGCCAGACCGGAUGCUUGCCCACUCGGAGACCCCAGUCUCAUCUGUCUAUAACAUCUCCACACUAAUACGUGACUUCCAGAGACUCCGGGUGAGGCAUUGGAGACCAGCCAGAAGCCCUUUUCAAAGACCUUGACUUUCACGUGACCUUUUCACCCUCGAUGGACAGAACAGACGAGUGACUGGCUUCGCUGCAACAGGACAGCGUAUGUAGUGGAGGCUCAAUUACUGGGAGUCCGCAGCCUGCUGGA
rnacentral:lncRNA from 1 species